rnacentral:rRNA from 1 species
GUGCCAGCAGCCGCGGUAAUACCGGCAGCCCGAGUGAUGACCGAUCUUAUUGGGCCUAAAGCGUCCGUAGCCGGCCGGACAAGUCCGUUGGGAAAUCGACGCGCCUAACGCGUCGGCGUCCAGCGGAAACUGUCCGGCUUGGGGCCGGAAGAUCCGAGGGGUACGUCCGGGGUAGGAGUGAGAUCCCGUAAUCCUGGACGGACCGCCGGUGGCGAAAGCGCCUCGGAAGGACGGACCCGACGGUGAGGGACGAAAGCUGGGGUCUCGAACCGGAUUAGAAACCCCAGUAGUCC